CCUACGGGCGGCUGCAGUGGGGAAUAUUGCACAAUGGGCGCAAGCCUGAUGCAGCCAUGCCGCGUGUGUGAAGAAGGCCUUCGGGUUGUAAAGCACUUUCAGCGGGGAGGAAGGCGUUAAGGUUAAUAACCUUGGCGAUUGACGUUACCCGCAGAAGAAGCACCGGCUAACUCCGUGCCAGCAGCCGCGGUAAUACGGAGGGUGCAAGCGUUAAUCGGAAUUACUGGGCGUAAAGCGCACGCAGGCGGUCUGUCAAGUCGGAUGUGAAAAUCCCCGGGCUCAACCUGGGAACUGCAUUCGAAACUGGCAGGCUAGAGUCUUGUAGAGGGGGGUAGAAUCCCAGGUGUAGCGGUGAAAUGCGUAGAGAUCUGGAGGAAUACCGGUGGCGAAGGCGGCCCCCUGGACAAAGACUGACGCUCAGGUGCGAGAGCGUGGGGAGCAAACAGGAUUAGAUACCCUAGUAGUC
rnacentral:rRNA from 1 species